CCUCUGCGCCGUCGGCAUCUUCUCCUCAUCGCCGCACAACCUCUCCCGAUUCCCUUCCCUCGCGUUGUCUUCUCAUCUCUCCCUCUCGCAACGGCGCACCGCGCUACCCUGAUUCGCACCCGACCGCUGGCCAGGCCGACUUUCUCCUCCCUCUCCUCCCUCAACGUCGGCCUCGAGCAGGAGCCUAGCCGACCCGCCCAUCGCUGGCCCCUUUGAGCAACCCUUUUCUUCCCCCACGCCGACACCACGGGAGCUAAUCGCCGUCGGCUGAGCACCCCCUCUCCCCGCGGACACCAGAAGCGCCGAAAAUUGAGCAUCCGAGUCAUCUUGGUACCGUGCCCUAGCUUCAUCGCCAAGCAGAUUCGGUGUUGAUGUGCUUUUGGUGGCACCUUGGUCAUUCAGUGUUUUGGAGCACUCAAUCGGUUGGUGAUGAGAGGGCGGACUGGAUCACUUCGCCAGACUUUAUCUGGUUCUCUCCAUCAGAUCUAAAGUGGUGAGUUCCAUUUCUUCAUGGCUGCAUUCGGAUGCUUCAUCAAGCUACCCUAGAUUUGCAGAUUGGAUUAUGGAUGUUGGUUCGAGACGAGCGUCUCGAUGUGGGAAUGGUAUUGGCACGAUCUUCGCAGUUAAGGCGGGUAGCAGGUAAAGGGUUUAUGGAGUCACCUGGAGAGCCUGUCCGCCAGGCCCAUGUCACAUUCGAGGACGACCUUACGAUUUUGAUAUUUCUUACGCUAUUUGUAUUUUGGGUUUUGUACUUGUUUAUGUAUUUGUGUUCUCUUGUAUUUGGUUUG